GUACCGCAAACCGACACUGGUGGACAAGGGUAAAUGCCCUAAGACGUUCGAGAUAACCAUUGUUAAGGAACUAGGCAAAUUAACCCCGUAACUUCGGGAUAAGGGGAGCCUUCUGCGUAUACAGGCAUGCCCUGGAAACGCGCGGAAGGUCGCAGAGAAUUGGUUCAAGCGACUGUUUACCAAAAACACAGGUCCGUGCUAA
rnacentral:rRNA from 1 species